rnacentral:tRNA from 1 species
GGGGCCAUAGCUCAGAUGGGAGAGCGCCUGCCUUGCAAGCAGGAGGUCAGCGGUUCGAUCCCGCUUGGCUCCACCA